rnacentral:rRNA from 1 species
AUGGCGGGGCGGCCGGGCUACGUCACGCUGCCGAUAAUCUCGGUGUUCGCCGCGAUCGGGUACGUCUACUACACCGCGGUGUUCCUCGCGAUCCCCGCGUGGCUGGGGCUCGCCACGGCCGCGGGGGUUGCCAACGUCGCGGCCUACACCGCGCUCGCGCUCGCCUGCGUCGCCGCCUACGGCCUCGUCGUCACGCGCGACCCGGGCCGCGUGCCGCCCGCCUUCGUGCCCGACGUAGAGGACGCCGAGACUCCCCUCCAUGAGAUCAAGCGCAAGGGUGGUGAUUUGAGAUACUGCCAGAAGUGUUCUCAUUAUAAACCUCCUCGCGCGCAUCAUUGUCGUGUCUGCAAGAGAUGUAUUCUGAAAAUGGACCACCACUGUAUUUGGAUUAACAAUUGCGUUGGGCAUGAGAAUUACAAAAUUUUCCUCGUAUUUGUGCUGUACGCUGCAACCGCAAGCUUCUAUUCUUUGGCUCUGAUGAUUGGAGGCGCAGUGCAUAGUGUGCCUAAAGAUGAACAAUCAGGAAUUGAUUCUCCAAGAAAAUCGUUAGUUAUUUGUGGUGUCUUUGUGUGUGUAAUGACUUUGGCAUUGUCUAUCCUCUUGGUCUGGCAUGUUUACCUCAUCUUGCAUAAUAAAACUACUAUUGAGUACCAUGAAGGAGUUAGGGCAAUGUGGUUGGCAGAAAAGGCUGGAAAUCUUUACCAUCAUCCAUAUGAUCUCGGUGUGUAUCAUAAUAUUGUUUCGGUCCUAGGCCCCAACAUGCUAUGCUGGUUCUGCCCUGUAUCGAGGAACAUAGGCAACGGCGUUCGUUUCCGCACAUCAUAUGAUAUUCCGCUAUCUACACUACCAUCCAAAGCAGAAAAGCAUCUGGCAAUGUCUUGA